rnacentral:rRNA from 1 species
UACGUAGGGUGCGAGCGUUGUCCGGAAUUAUUGGGCGUAAAGGGCUCGUAGGCGGUUUGUCGCGUCGGGAGUGAAAUCCUACGGCUUAACUGUGGGCUUGCUUUCGAUACGGGCAGACUAGAGGUAUGCAGGGGAGAACGGAAUUCCUGGUGUAGCGGUGGAAUGCGCAGAUAUCAGGAGGAACACCGGUGGCGAAGGCGGGUCUCUGGGCAGUAACUGACGCUGAGGAGCGAAAGCGUGGGGAGCGAACAGG